rnacentral:lncRNA from 1 species
UUGGACACGACUGAGCAACUGAACUGAACCAGCCAGAUACAUAGAAAUUAAGUAGAAAUUUAUAACCUUAGUCCAUGUAACAAAUGAUAUUAAUGUGAACUUUGUCCAUAUCACUGAGAGUAAGAACAAGAGGCAGGUUCAAACAUAUUGCUCAGGUAGACAUGGUAAGUCCCCACCAUAAAUUGAGAGUAGGUCAUGGGAGAGAAUAGUUAGAAAUGGCCCCUAUGUUUUAUAAGGGAGAACCAGGUUUUAGGGAGAAAGAUAAUGAAUAUAUUGGGAUGAAAGAGAUGUUCAGCUGAUGCUUACACAGGCAAAUUCUGAGUAUUUGUCAUCAGCUAUGUCAAAAGAAGCAGACUCUGAGCAGGAUAAAGUAAGACAGGAGGCUCUUUGUAGUCCGAAGAGGAUGCAAAGAGUUUGGAAAAACUAAGCAAAUCAAAGGAAAUAAUUAGUUUUUUUUAAUGACCACCUUAAGUACUUUAAGAUAAAAUUGAGUAAAAGAUGGUCAUUCAUUCCUAUUAAGUUCACUUAUUGAUUCUGGCACAUCAUUCCAGUCUACUGAGUUCAUUUUUUCACUAGCAGUCAUUGCGUAGAAACAUUGCUCAGUUUUUCCAAUUGUAUUCUUUUGUAUAUUUGGCCUCAAAAAGUUAUUUAAGGCAUAAAAUUAUUGAAUACAACAGAAAGCUAAUCAUUUUCCUGAGAAAUCAAGCAAUAUUGUAAAAAUUGUGUAGUGGACACUGUGGCACACCACCCGUGUCUGCGUUCAGGAUCAGCACUUAUUUCCAGAGGUUGCGUGUUGACUACUCACAACUCAUAGCUGACUCCUUCCCUAAAAACGGCCUUGGCCUUGCCUGUUAGACCUCCCUCAGCUGUGUCUGUUGACUCACUGAAGUAACCCCCCUUUCUUUCAAUUCUGGUCAAUAGAAGAACCAUCCUAGCUCUGUAGCCUCUGAUGGGAUCAACUGACGCCUCUGUUGCAACUACAUCAUAGUUGGACUUCUCUGCAGCCUUCACUCUCUCAUAGGUUUAUUCUUGCAGGGAUUCUAAAGCCACCUACAAACAAAUCUCCAUCGUAAUGUCUAUAUCCCCAAGGAACCCAACCUAAGAUGAAUUUCAAAUCAAAAUCUUAGUCGGUAUUUUCUGACUUGACAGAACCAUUUUAGACAUCAUUUAGACUAUCAGGAUCCUUUAUACAUUUGAAAAAGAAGAUUAAUGAGGAUGACUGCUUUUAAG